AAACUAGGAUUAGAUACCCUAUUAUUUUUGAUGUUAAUUAUUUAACCUGAGUAGUAAUAGAUAUGGUCUUGAAACUUAAAGAAUUUGGCAGUAUUUUAUUCUGUUCAGAGGAACCUGUUCUUUUAUCGAUAAUCCUCGUUGGACCUUACUUGAUUUAUUGAUUUGUAUACCGCCGUUGUAUUGAGGAUCUUUAUAGUGUUUAUAAUUUUCUGUAUUUUACUUUAAGUUAUUUCAGGUCAAGGUGCAAUUUAUGAUUAAGUGGAAAUGGGUUACUUUUAUAUUUAUUUUUGGAUUAUUGAGUGUAAUUUUGAUAUGAAAUUGGAUUUGAAUGUAAUUAUUAUUUUAGAUUGUAUUGAUGAUUUAGUUUCUAGAAUGUGUACACAUCGCCCGUCACUCUCGUUAUUUAUUCGAGAUAAGUCGUAACAUAGUA
rnacentral:rRNA from 1 species